rnacentral:lncRNA from 1 species
CGGCCGCUCGCGGGGUGCGCCGGGGGCUCCGAUGGGAACCGAGCGCGGGGGACCCGGGACCACACAGGUGAGCCCCGCCCGCGGGCUCCCAAUCCACCGAGUUCCCCUAUCCCACGAUCCCGCCCGCCAUCCCCUCCCCCUCGCUCCUCCACCCCAGCUCCGAAGCACUUUCCCAAGCCCGAAGGAGCCCUCGCUGCACCCCGAACCCGUUCUCCGCGUCCUGCUUUCUCCGAAGGGAAAAAAAAAAGGAGAGAAAGAGAGAGAAGCAAGCAGAUGCGGCGCAAAGCGGGGCGCAGGACGGCAAGGGGCCGCUUCCAGCCUGGAGGGACUUUUCUUGGAAAGGUGGAGACCCCCGGAGGAGUGCGACUCCCCAAGGGCCCGAUGCUCUGGAGCGAAAAGGCGUUCGCUGGUCAGCCUUGCUGCCAGAAAAUUUAGCAAACUUCGGGCAGAUCCUCCCACCUGGGGCGAGAGCUCUGGCUGGCCUGGGGCUCAGCCCCGGGACCUUUCCUUUCACACUUUAAGAGCCUCAAGGCACUUUUUCCGUGGAAACCAGGCCAGCGCGAGGACAACUU